UACGGAGGGAGCUAGCGUUGUUCGGAAUUACUGGGCGUAAAGCGCGCGUAGGCGGCUUUGUAAGUUAGAGGUGAAAGCUCGGAGCUCAACUCCGGAACUGCCUUUAAAACUGCAUCGCUUGAAUCCAGGAGAGGUGAGUGGAAUUCCGAGUGUAGAGGUGAAAUUCGUAGAUAUUCGGAGGAACACCAGUGGCGAAGGCGGCUCACUGGUCCAUUACUGACGCUGAGGUGCGAAAGCGUGGGGAGCAAACAGG
rnacentral:rRNA from 1 species